AUGGAGAAGCUCCUAAUUGUCUGCUGGGUGGUUUUAUGGCCGUAUUUCCAGUGGGUGGCUGGCAAGACCCAAGUGCAGCAGAAUCCACAGUCCCUGGUUGUCCCUGAGGGAGAGAACUGUGUCCUUCAAUGCAAUUACACUGUGAGACCCUUUAACAACUUGAGGUGGUACAAACAAGAGGCAGGCAGAGGUCCAGUGUCCCUGGCAGUCCUGACUGACAGCAAGAACAAAAUAUCAAAGGGAAGAUACUCAGCAAGUCUGGACGCAGAUGCUAAGCACAGCACCCUGCACAUCACAGCCUCUCUGUUGGAUGACACUGCUGCCUACAUCUGUGUGGUGGGCGCACCGUGCUCCCCAGAUACGCACAGCCAGUACCAAAACCUGAUGCUGGAGUCUUGA